CUCUUCCACACCUAAAAUAUCAUCUACCGAAGCCUUUCAGCCAUUAUUUCCGCAUCAUUCUCGAAGAACCCAAGAAUCAAACUCAGUAAACUCUUCUAUUUUUUUUUCUCUGAAUCAAAAUCGACAUCUCCUCCAUCUAAACCGAUUCUGAGUUUUGUUCGCCUUGCACAAGGUACGGAUCACGCUGGUGUUUGUACCGGCCUGGACCGAAGGAAAGCACCGUUUGAGUGAAGGCUUGGCAAAAACGAUCAAACGGUUCUUAUCAAAAGACAACAUUUGAACGACGUUGCGGAAGAAGGCAACAAAAUGGAAGAACCUCUCGUGCCACUACAUCAAGAGGAGAUUACUAGGAAGAUCAUGUAUGACUAUCUGAUUCAAAAUUUUGAAAACUUAAGUGCUUGAAUGUCCUCAAUCAAUAAUUGCUUGAGAAACAUUGAGAAUGGAGUUCAUUUGAUGUA